GUGGGGAAUCUUGCGCAAUGGGCGAAAGCCUGACGCAGCAACGCCGCGUGGGGGAUGAAGGCUCUCGGGUUGUAAACCCCUUUCAGCAGGGACGAAUCAAGACGGUACCUGCAGAAGAAGCCCCGGCUAACUACGUGCCAGCAGCCGCGGUAACACGUAGGGGGCAAGCGUUGUCCGGAUUUAUUGGGCGUAAAGAGCUCGUAGGUGGCUGAGUAAGUCGGAUGUCAAAUCCCCAGGCCCAACCUGGGAUCCCAUCCGAUACUGCUCUGGCUAGAGUCCUGUAGGGGAGCGUGGAAUUCCUGGUGUAGCGGUGAAAUGCGCAGAUAUCAGGAGGAACACCAGCGGCGAAGGCGGCGCUCUGGGCCGGUACUGACACUGAGGAGCGAAAGCGUGGGUAGCAAACAGGAUUAGAAACCCUAGUAGUCC
rnacentral:rRNA from 1 species